rnacentral:lncRNA from 1 species
GAAGGAAUCGAUGGAAUUGGGCGGCAAAUUAUGGUACAAUAUCAUUGCCGCUUUCGAUAAAAUUUCGAACUUUUCCAAUAGAACAGAUUCAUUCUCAUCGUCAUCUAAGUUAUUCCCCUUUAUUCCGCAUGUAUAAGAAGUGACAUGUUCAUUAGUGUCGGUGGUUCCGUUUUAUUUGGGAAUUUUUGGCAUGCAAUUUUUUGGGGGAUGGGCUUCGGAGCCGCACUUGGAGGAAAGUCUUCUGCACGGACUUCUUCGAAUCCAACCCCUUUAGAAUCUGGGGUGCCCCCGGUAUUUGGUUAGCCCGGGAGUUGAACGUUUCUAUCUUUUUGUCAUUAGCCUCAAUUUUCUAUUCACCUGAUUCGAUCUGUUUAGUGAGAUCCUCGAGCAUCUUCAUAAUGGCGGGGUUAGUCCCCGAUUCAUUGGCGUUUGAUUUCUCAGAUACAGGUUCGGCUCUGUGAAUAACUUUUUCUGAAGUUUCG